UGCUGGAGGUAUCAGAAGUGCGAAUGCUGACAUAAGUAACGAUAAAGCGGGUGAAAAGCCCGCUCGCCGGAAGACCAAGGGUUCCUGUCCAACGUUAAUCGGGGCAGGGUGAGUCGACCCCUAAGGCGAGGCCGAAAGGCGUAGUCGAUGGGAAACGGGUUAAUAUUCCCGUACUUGGUGUUACUGCGAAGGGGGGACGGAGAAGGCUAUGUUGGCCGGGCGACGGUUGUCCCGGUUUAAGCGUGUAGGUGUGUGUUCCAGGUAAAUCCGGUUCACUUUAACACUGAGGCGUGAYGACGAGGCACUACGGUGCUGAAGCAACAAAUGCCCUGCUUCCAGGAAAAGCCUCUAAGCAUCAGGUAACAUCAAAUCGUACCCCAAACCGACACAGGUGGUCAGGUAGAGAAUACCAAGGCGCUUGAGAGAACUCGGGUGAAGGAACUAGGCAAAAUGGUGCCGUAACUUCGGGAGAAGGCACGCUGACAYGUAGGUGAAGUGAUUUACUCAYGGAGCUGAAGUCAGUCGAAGAUACCAGCUGGCUGCAACUGUUUAUUAAAAACACAGCACUGUGCAAACACGAAAGUGGACGUAUACGGUGUGACGCCUGCCCGGUGCCGGAAGGUUAAUUGAUGGGGUCAGCGCAAGCGAAGCUCCUGAUCGAAGCCCCGGUAAACGGCGGCCGUAACUAUAACGGUCCUAAGGUAGCGAAAUUCCUUGUCGGGUAAGUUCCGACCUGCACGAAUGGCGUAAUGAUGGCCAGGCUGUCUCCACCCGAGACUCAGUGAAAUUGAACUCGCUGUGAAGAUGCAGUGUACCCGCGGCAAGACGGAAAGACCCCGUGAACCUUUACUAUAGCUUGACACUGAACAUUGAGCCUUGAUGUGUAGGAUAGGUGGGAGGCUUUGAAGUGUGGACGCCAGUCUGCAUGGAGCCGRCCUUGAAAUACCACCCUUUAAUGUUUGAUGUUCUAACGUGGACCCGUGAUCCGGGUUGCGGACAGUGUCUGGUGGGUAGUUUGACUGGGGCGGUCUCCUCCUAAAGAGUAACGGAGGAGCACGAAGGUUGGCUAAUCCUGGUCGGACAUCAGGAGGUUAGUGCAAUGGCAUAAGCCAGCUUGACUGCGAGCGUGACGGCGCGAGCAGGUGCGAAAGCAGGUCAUAGUGAUCCGGUGGUUCUGAAUGGAAGGGCCAUCGCUCAACGGAUAAAAGGUACUCCGGGGAUAACAGGCUGAUACCGCCCAAGAGUUCAUAUCGACGGCGGUGUUUGGCACCUCGAUGUCGGCUCAUCACAUCCUGGGGCUGAAGUAGGUCCCAAGGGUAUGGCUGUUCGCCAUUUAAAGUGGUACGCGAGCUGGGUUUAGAACGUCGUGAGACAGUUCGGUCCCUAUCUGCCGUGGGCGCUGGAGAACUGAGGGGGGCUGCUCCUAGUACGAGAGGACCGGAGUGGACGCAUCACUGGUGUUCGGGUUGUCAUGCCAAUGGCACUGCCCGGUAGCUAAAUGCGGAAGAGAUAAGUGCUGAAAGCAUCUAAGCACGAAACUUGCCCCGAGAUGAGUUCUCCCUGAGACUU
rnacentral:rRNA from 1 species